CAGGUAUUCACGACAUUUGUAAAAACGGAUAAAAGGCUUUGUGCAUUCCAACCAAUCGACGUUUUAUUAACAGACCUAUAUUUUACCCGUGCUUUUUGUAUACGGGUAGGGACAUAAUAAUAUUUGAUGUUUUGAUAUCUACUGAAGAUGGCUAAUGAAACCAAUCUACCCAGUCAGUAUGAUACUGAUUAUGGAUAUGAUAAAACCUAUGAUCCAGAAUUCAUCGCUGGACAACAAAUUGCAUUGAAUGAAGCUGCUGCCCGAGUUCUGACUAGAACUAACCCAAUGCAAUGGCGACAAGAAGGUGACAGGUCUACAUAUCCAUCUAUUCAACCAGAUGUCUAUGGGUAUGACCAACCAACCCCAAACGGAGCUAGACAACAGUAUCAUCCCUUUACCAUUAAUAGUGUGGAUGUGGUGAUGAACCAGCCUGUGUUGACCAGAGUAAUACGAACACCGAAACCCACCUGUUAUACUGGGUUAUCUGUCUUCACAUGUUUGUUUUGCUGUAUGCCAUUGGGAUUGAUAGCAAUAAUUAUGUCUUUAAAGGCUACGUCUGCCGCAGAGGAGGGUUCCUUUGAAGUAGCCAGACAUUACGGCGAAUCAGCUAAAAACUUGAAUAUUGCAGGAAUUAUGAUAGGGAUCAUCAUGGUAGUGAUUGCUGGAGUGUUGUAUCACUCAUUCUACAAUACAGAUCAUUAUCAUUAUUAAGACACCAGAUCCUAAUUAUCAGAAUUGUAAUCUAAUAACUAAAUGAUCAACUUAAUUAAGCAAGACGAAAAAUUCUAAUAAUAAUAUUUGUUCCUGUCAUUAUCAGAUAAAUAAUUCUUUUCUUUAUAUAAUAAUUAAUUAUUUUCAUUAUAACAAAAUAUUCCGUUCAUUAUUGUAUCAAUAACUCUUUUUCGGAUAAAUAAUUCUCUUCUUUA